rnacentral:rRNA from 1 species
GACGGAGAAGGUUAGGUGUACCAGGCGUUGGUUGUCCUGGGGAAAGGCGGUAGGUUUGGAUCUUUGGCAAAUCCGGGAUCCUUUAAGACCGAGCACCGAGACGAGCCUUUAAGGCGAAGUCACUGAUACCACGCUUCCAGGAAAAGCUCCUAAGCUUCAGCUUACGCAGACCGUACCGUAAACCGACACAGGUGGGCAG